UACGUAGGGGCCGAGCGUUGUCCGGAGUUAUUGGGCGGAAAGCGCGCGCAGGCGGCCUCGCGCGCCCGACGUGAAAGCCCCCGGCUUAGCCGGGGAGGGUCGUUGGGGACGGCGGGGCUUGAGGGCGGGAGAGGUCGGUGGAAUUCCCGGUGUAGUGGUGAAAUGCGUAGAGAUCGGGAGGAACACCUGUGGCGAAGGCGGCCGACUGGGCCGACCCUGACGCUGAGGCGCGAAGGCGUGGGGAGCGAACGGG
rnacentral:rRNA from 1 species